UGGGGAAUAUUGCACAAUGGGCGCAAGCCUGAUGCAGCCAUGCCGCGUGUGUGAAGAAGGCCUUCGGGUUGUAAAGCACUUUCAGCGAGGAGGAAGGUGGUGAGCUUAAUACGCUCAUCAAUUGACGUUACUCGCAGAAGAAGCACCGGCUAACUCCGUGCCAGCAGCCGCGGUAAUACGGAGGGUGCAAGCGUUAAUCGGAAUUACUGGGCGUAAAGCGCACGCAGGCGGUUUGUUAAGUCAGAUGUGAAAUCCCCGGGCUCAACCUGGGAACUGCAUUUGAAACUGGCAAGCUAGAGUCUCGUAGAGGGGGGUAGAAUUCCAGGUGUAGCGGUGAAAUGCGUAGAGAUCUGGAGGAAUACCGGUGGCGAAGGCGGCCCCCUGGACGAAGACUGACGCUCAGGUGCGAAAGCGUGGGGAGCAAAACAGGAUUAGAUACCCUGGUAGUCCACGCUGUAAAACGAUGUCGAUUUUGGAGGUUGUGCCCCUUGAGGCGUGGCUUCCGGAGCUAACG
rnacentral:rRNA from 1 species